UUUACCUACGGGGCGCAGCAGUGGGGGAUAUUGCACAAUGGGGGGAACCCUGAUGCAGCGACGCCGCGUGGGUGAAGAAGCGCCUCGGCGCGUAAAGCCCUGUCAGCAGGGAAGAAAAUGACGGUACCUGACUAAGAAGCUCCGGCUAAAUACGUGCCAGCAGCCGCGGUAAUACGUAUGGAGCAAGCGUUAUCCGGAAUUACUGGGUGUAAAGGGAGCGUAGGCGGCAAGGCAAGUCUGAUGUGAAAACCCAGGGCCCAACCCUGGGACUGCAUUGGAAACUGUAUUGCUUGAGUACCGGAGAG
rnacentral:rRNA from 1 species